AUAACCUUUUAGUUUUAGAUGCAAUCCUUACUAUUAGAUUAAGCAUAAAAAUUAGAUCUAAUAAGAGCAUAAAAAUUAGAUCUAAUGCUAUACAUGCUGAUCAUACUGAAAAGUUAAAAUCUAGAUCUAAUCUAACUUUAGUUGCAUGCAUCAAUCAGAUCUAAUCCCUUUUUAAUUCAAAUAUAAAUAUAAAUCAGAUCUAAUUUGAUUUAGAUCUACUCCUAAUCUUAGAUGCAUGAUCUUUGCAACCUGGCUCUGAUACCAGUUGAAGGAACGACCACAUGCC
rnacentral:lncRNA from 1 species